GUGGCCGUGGUGAAAUUGGUAGACACGCCAGGUUUAGGUCCUGGUAGCUAACGCUAUGGGGGUUCAAGUCCCUUCGGCCACACCA
rnacentral:tRNA from 1 species